rnacentral:lncRNA from 1 species
GCGGGGCCUCGGACCCCGCCCUCCGCCUUCCCCGGGAUUCCGUGCUGUGCGGGCCGGGCGCUGGCGUUGGAUUGAGUUCUGUGAGUUGACUGGGCAUUCUGCAUCACAAGGUGUGGCUGGGCACUGGAACAGCCGAAGUCACCUGGGAGCUGACUGGGUUGGACUGUCCAGGAUGGUUCACUCCUACGACAGUGGAUGCUCAACUGGGGCUGUCAACUGGAGCCCCCAUAGAUGGCCGUCUUCUCAUUGUAUCUUAACAUGGUGGAAGGAGAAUGAGAAAGCUCGCUUGUGUCUCUUUUUAUAAGGGCACUAAUCCAGACGCGGAGGGCUCACCUUUACAACAGCUAAACCUGAUCACCCCCCAGAGGCCCCAUCUCCAAAUACCAUCACAUUGGGGAUUGUGCUUUGACAUAUGAAUGUGGGAGGACACGAGCAUUCAGUCCAUAACAGGCACCAAGGCACCAAGUCAGUCUGCACAAGUGUGUCGCUGGGCAGAAGAACAAAAGAGAAGGAAGAAGAAAGAACACAGUACAGAAAGUGAGUGGCGGUACCACAAAGAGUCAUCAGCAAGUGCUGAUGGUGGCUCCGGCCAGCACAUUCCAAGCAUCCUUGGGUAGCCUGAUAAAUGGAGUGCAGAAUGUUCGGUAGCUCUGCAAGGAGUGGGAGUAUUUAUUGGGUCUGAGUGCUUGAUGCGAAACUUUCCUCCAAAGUUCCAAUUUUCUAUCCGCCAAGAUAAGUGAUGGAGGUUUAUGGUUCAUGUUGUAGCACAUCCACCCAGGCCAAGGACCUACAACUCUGAAUUUCUGGCCUGCCUCCUUCCAGCUAGAAGUGAAUCUAGAUUUACAUGCCAUCAGGAACAAGCAUCGUCUUCCUGUUCUGUGAGUUCCUAGUUGUAGUAGGUACUGCUUUCAUCCUGAGAAUAUCAAUCUACAUGCACAAGGUCCCUCUCUGUGGAGGAGUAGGUACUUAAACCCAAGAUAAGUGGAAACUUUAUAUCCAAGGAGACAGAAAAUAAAAUUUCAGUAUGUUUUAUAUUAAACAACUUAUUAUACUUCUAUCCUUUUAUGAACAUAAGGUCAUCAGUAGGCCAAAAGUCUGAAAACAGUCUCAGUUCCUCAAUGUGAAUGCAAACCAUUAGUGCAAAAAAAAAAAAAAAAUAGAUAAAAUUAAAAAAUGAAAGCACAGAUACUUUCUAGCCUUGCUGUCUUAUAGCCCCAUAUUCAUAGGACUGACCAUUCCCCAUCUAUACCCACACCUUUCCCAAAGGACACUAUCUGUGAAUGGUGGCCACGCGUUUGGAUGUUACAGAGCAAGCACGUUCUUCAUUACUUCACAGACACAAUUAUGCAGCCCACGUGCAUAGUGGAAGUCAGGAAAGCGUCUCCUGGUUGCCUGGUCAGCUGACAUUCUCGAUUCUUUAUAGUCAAUUGAGCCAGUCCUUAGCUCCUAGAAGAGUAAAACGAUACAUCCAUUUAUUAAAAGUACUACUUUAAGACAUUAGAAAGUCUGAAAUGUUGGAACUCUGCCAAGCAAUAGAGAAAUCCUGUGAUGGUUAAUUUUAGGUGUCAACUUGACUGGAUCAGGGGAUACACAGAUAGCUGGUAAAGCAUUAUUUCUGGGUGUGUCUGUGAGCGUGUUUCUGGAGGAGAUUGGCAUUUGAAGCAGUGGACUGAGUGAGGAAGAUCUGCCCUCACACAGUGUGGGUGGCACCAUCUAAUUGGCUGAUGGCCCAGAUAGAACAAAAAGGCAGAGGAGAGACAAUUUUUUUCUCUCUCUUCUGGAGCUGGGGCACCCUUCUUCUCCUGCUUUUGGAAGCAGAAUUCCCAAGUUCUUCAGCUUUUGGACUCCAGGAUCUGAACCGUUGCUUCCCUGGGUUCUCAGACCUGCUGUCUUGGACUGAGAGUAACACCAUCGGCUUCCCUAAUUCUGAGGCCUUCAGCUGGGACUGAGCCACACUACCAGCUGCCCUGGGUCUCCAGCUUGCAAAUGCCUGGCAUGGGACUUCUCAGUUUCCAAAUUGUGUGAGCUGAUUCCCCUAAUCAAUCCCCUCUCAUCUCUGUCUAUCCAUCCAUCCAUCUAUGUUUUGUCUCUCUGGAAAACCCUGUCUAAUAUAAAUCCAUUCUGAAAAUACCAGGUACAGUCAUGUACUACGUAAUAAUGUUUCGGUCAACAACGAACCACAUAUAUGAUGAUGGUCCCGUAAGAUUACCCUAUUUUUACUAUACCUUUUUAUUUAAUAUUUAGAUAUGUUUAGGUACACAAAUACUUCCCAUUGUGUUAUGAUUGCCUAAAGUUUUCAGUUCAAUCACGUGCUAUACAGGUUUGGAGCCUAGGAGCAAUAGGCCACACCAUAUAGCAUAGGUGUGUAGUAGGCUAUACCAUGUAGGUUGGGUAAGUACACUUUGAUGCUCAGAAAAUGGUGAAAUCACCUAAGGAUGCAUUUCUCAGAAUGUAUCCUUGUUAAGUGACACAUGAGUGUGCUUAUGUGUGUAAGGUCAAUAAAAAAUGUCACAGGGGCUUUAUCAAAGGCAGCAUUAUUUUAUAUGGACUAUGGGUCCUAUUGAAUAUUUUUGUCCUCUUCCUUGCCCACCACCCACCCCCAUAAACAUUACCCACAUUGCAGCCAGGGCAAACAUUUAGAAAUUGAAAUCUGAUUUAUGAUCCCUUGUUAAGACAUCCCAAUAAAAGGCUUUUCAGGCUGGGAUUGGUGGCUCAUGCCUGUAAUCCCAGCACUUUGGGAGAAUGAAGCAGGUGAAUUGCUUGAGCCCAGAAGUUUGAGACCAGCCUGAGCAACAAAUUGAGACCCCCAUCGCUACCAAAAAAAAA